AAACUAACUGAGGUUUUGACAGAUGAUUUUGUUGCAGGGGGAGGUACAAAGUAGAUUCGAACCUUGAAGGUGUUGGGAGAGAAUGGGACCAGGAGAGGACAAAUAGUGUCACUUCUCCGGCAGCUGCUAGUAGAAAUGACAAUGUACCUCUUGACUUAUGGAAGCACUCCCUGAAGAGUAGCCAGGCUUUCAUACGAACAGCUUGAAGGGAAUCAGGCCCUAAGUACUAGGCUUCAGCAGAUGCCUGUGUUUUAAAUGUACCCCUUGAUUAUUUGCAGUUUCCAACUUCAGAGCUAAAACAGCAACUACUUUAAUGUUAGUAACUUUGAGUAGAAGCACUUAAGUUCUGCCCCACGCUUGGACAUUGGGUAAAACCAAGCCUUCUUUGCAUAUGUGUUGAGGACAUAUGUGUAUGUAUGUUUGCGAGUGCAAAUGUACAAAAAUAACUGAGAUUAAAAUUUGGACCAGUCUCAAAGGAAGGACAUUCAGUUAUAUUUGCUUUCAAUGAGACAGUAAAAUGUGACUUUUUUUGCAUACUUGACUUUGCAUAUACAAAAAUACUGUAUGAUAAAAUAAUAGUUUUGAAUAAAGUUAAGAAGCUGAAGAGCUGCAUAUCUGAAUGCCAAAGACAGAUGUGUUUGGUACACAAAAAUAAUUGCAGAUGAAAAUAAAAUAGUUUACUUUUUCUGGCAGAGAGGGUUGGAAGGAAUAAAAACAGAUACAUAUUUCCUUCUAUUCUAUAUUCCACUUAAGUUUGUGUGAUUACUUUCAUCUCAACUAAUUUAUGUUUAUCCUUCGUCUCCCGAAUUCCUGAAAGCAUGAUCCACUGCAAUUCCCAGUACUUAGCCCUGCCCUGUUCCAUCUUUGUUUCAGAUAUUACUCUGCCCCUUCCUUUUGAAUAAGUGAAAUAACAGAAUAUUGGUAUCUUGGGAGAAGGAAUUUUUUUUUUAAGUCUCCAGAAGGUUGUAAAUGUGGAAAUAAAGUACUCUAUCACAGGACUAUAUAUACUUGUAUAUGAAUUUUAAUUUUAGGAGUUGUUAGCUGUUUGGUUUUUUCUUAUUCCAUCCCUACUUAUUUCUCCUUACACAAUCUGAAAUGCUUUGCUUUUCAGUACCAUCUGACAUACAUAAUUUAUUUAAUUUACUCAAGUGCUUGUUUAUUGGCUGUCUGUACCCACAAAAGUAAAGUUACAGUGGCAGCAAUAUUUGUGUUUUCAUGAAAAUAUACAAUGCUGCACCCUCCCUUUCCCCAGCACUAGAAGAGUAUCCACCAAUUGAUGCUCAAUAUUUGCUAAUUGAAUGAAUGAAGGAAUAUCUUAGAUUCACACUUUAUCAUAGGUAAACUGCAGAUGGUAAAAUGAGUUUCACAAGUUAAUUAUGAAAAUUAGAAUAUGGUAUAUUAAAUAUAAAGUGAUGAUAAAGUAUCUUUUGGUGUUCAAAGUUGAUAGUAUUUUUGUUGUUGUUUUUAAAGUAAAAGAAAUAGUCAUAUAGAAGAAACAGAAAGGCCUCUAAUAUAGAGAAGAGAUAGGGUAGAAUAGUUUUAUGGGGAAAGGUAAUGGAACAUAAAGGGAUUUGAUUUUGGAGGAAGGAUUAUUAAUAGACUGGCAACAUAGCUUGUAUGCACAACCCAUACUGUUGUGUACAGUAGAAUAUUCUGUGAGGGUACAAAUAUUCUGUGUCCGUGCUGUUCAUUGCAGUAGCUGUUAAUCCAUCUAUGGCUAUAGAGUGCAUGAAAGGAGAAUAGUACGACUAAGAAACUGAAGUUUUAAUUUUUUUUUUGUUUAAUUUUCAUUUAAACUCACACGGUCACAUGUGGCAGUAGCUAUUUUAUGACAGAGCAGAUCUUGAGCAAUGGCUCCCCAAACUAAAUGGACUUAACGAAGCCUAGCUUAAGAACACCCAUUAAAAUGCAGAUUUUCAUGCUUUACCUCUGAAUUCAUUUGCACUAGACCUGAGGGUGAGGCCCAGGACUCCACAUUUUAAGGAAUCAAUUUUGGAUUAUUUAUGUAGGUUAUCUUUCGAUUUUGCCUCUGUGCCAGUUCCUGGAGGUCUAUUUCUGUCAUUCCCUCUGUCUUUGCUUGUACUGUGUCCCCCAGUCUUUAAAAUAUAUGUCACAUUAAAUGUUACCAGUGGUUUCAUCCCAUCAGUCCAAAAACAAAAAUCAUAUCUAGGAAGCAGAGUUGCUCCCUUCAUUCUCUUUGAAGUUAAUUUUAAGUAAAGGCUGAUUUAUAAUUCCAUUCUCAUCAUUCACCUCUAAAUUUAAUCCUCCUUAUUCUUCCAGAGAGUCAAGGCUUUAUUAUAAGCGGGAUGAAGAAUCCUGGUAGUUUUGCAUCAUUUAGACUAAAUUCGGUAAUGCCCAUUGUUCAGAUAUUUACAAAUGUAUCCCCAAACACCUCUGAAGACAAUAAAAUUUUCAACUCUGUGGGGACUUGAGAGGUCCUACACUUUCAUUUUACUGAUUUAAAAAAAUGAUAACCAAAAAGUCAAGGCUGAAGAGCUAAUCAUUACUGUUUCCUUUUUUCCACAUAUCCAAUCUUUGGAGGCCAAAGGCAAAUGGUCAAAGAUUAAUGAUGAUUAACAUUUAUUGACCACUUCUUUUUCGGAAGAGGAUUAUAUGUGGGAAAUUUAAUGAGUAAAGAGGUUGUUUCCAUCACCUUUGUGAUGUAGUUGCAAUACCCAGGAUAUAUAGGUAUAAAUUGAGAAGUCUGGAGAGAGACAGUUGCCGCAUCAGUUCAAUGGCUCAGGAAUGCCAUCAAGGUUCCAAUGUUCUGGCUUUGUCUCUAGUAGGCUCUGCAUUUCGAUGGUCUAGUCUCAGUCUUACAAACUCUUGGUGACAGGAUGGUUGCCCCAGAUUCAUAAACAUGUCCUCCAAAGAAAGGAAAGGAAAAAGGUAGACUAUUUCUUAGAGUUAUACCGUUAUUAGGGAAAUAAAUCUUCUACACAAGCCUGCAGCAGACUUUUGUAUGUUUCAUUGGCCAGAUUUUUGAUGCCUGAUGACUCUUAACUGCAGGAGAGAUUAAUAAAUAAAGGGUCCUACCUUUCAGUCUCUGUGAUGGAAUCAAUAUCUUUCAGAAAGGAAAAAAGUGAAGGAAAACAGCCAUGGUUAGGCAAGCAUUUUCUACCAGAAGGGAAUAUGGUCUUGCUACGGAUAUAUUAAAUUUUUACAGGAACCUAAAAGAUGAUUAUGAAGACAUUUCCAUUUUGGAGAUUAGUGUAGAAGACUUUUGACCCAAUGGUUGUCAACUUAGAAAUUCUUUCCUUCCUUAGAGUAUGGAGGAAAUAAAACAACCAUCUGACAAGAAGAAUGAGCAAUAAGACAGAGGAGUCCUGAAGUUAAAUAAAACACAGCUCUAACAUUUUUUUCCCAGAAAAGAUUUUGGGGAGGGAGUAUAGAAUAAAUUGUUUAUAGCUCUCACUCUUAUAUUGAGCUGCCAUUGAAUAAGAUAAAUAGUCUACUAGUGUGUGAUGCAGAGAAACAGUGUGAAUCAAAGCAGGCAAUGUUAUUGCUUUCCAAGGCAGUGGUUUGCCUAAAUGGAGAGUACUAUGUCUGGUAUUUGUCACUAUUUCUUAGAAAGGGUAUAAUUUCUCUUGAAGGACUAUUACACUAAGUCACUUAAUGAUACCAAGCUUCUAAGAUUUAAGAUGUAAAGGAAGAAUGUUAAAAGUUGUGCAUUUGUUCACUGGGAGGUAAAAGGGAGUUUAAAUUCCUAUUUAGCCUUGGCAAUUUCCAUCACUGGCAGAGACUAUUCCUCUCUCAUGUUUUUCUCUUUAUUCAGUGCCAGUCCAUAUUCUGCUGCUACUUCCCUUACUCACCACUUUAACUGCAGCACUUUAUGUGAGGGGCACAAGUGAAGCAAGGAAUCUGUGCUGCUCUGUGAAUCAUCUGUCACAGGGAGGCUUAAAUGCGUGUUUCUUACCUGCCUGGAGGAAAAUGCAGUAAAUGCAUUUUGAGUGAGGGAGAGAAAGUUGUGUGUUCUUAAUAACUGGCAUAUUUAUUACGACUUAAACAGGAAAAUUGCAUAUUUGUGAAUUGAAAACCACAGGUGGAUGGAAUGAUCAGCUUUGUCUACAUGCAGAAUUACAACCAGGGCUAUGAGUAUGUGGUUCAUCAGUAAAACUAGUAGGAUAAAGCAGACCCAGAUUAAUCCUCUGGCUGUUCAUCAGUAACUGUAACAACAUGAGAAAAGUGCAUACCACUCUGGGCUUCAUUUUCCUCAUUGCUAAAAUACAGAUACUAAUCAUACACAUCAACAGAGUUUUAAUAAUAUUAAAUGAGCUAAUUACUAUAAAUUCUUUAGUUAGGAUCUGAUAUACAGAAAGCCCCUAUUACAUAUCAGCUGUGAUGCUGACAAUAAUAAUACCAACAAAAUCCAAAUGAGUAGUCAUAAGAUACUCAAAGAGCAAUUUUCCAAAAAGAAAAAUGAGAACUACAUGAAUGUAUGAAUACAAAUAAAAGACUGAAAUAUAUUAAAAUGAAUUCUGAGGUGCACAGAUAUCGAAAAGUUGGCUUUGAAAGCCACAAAACCCAGUGAAAUUGGUCUUUAUGGAGCCAGGCUAAAUGGCUCUCUGCAUUUUAGCUGGAUUCGCUGCCUUGUGUAAUACUGUGUUAGCCAUUUCUUAACCAUUAAUGAUUAAGAGGCUGGACAUUGCCUCAUGAAUCCACAUGGUUCAAACAAGUUCCAACACUUGGGAGCCCUUUGACCUCAGAAAAAACUGUUUAAAUUCUCUGUGGAUAAGGUUUUCCAUUGCAGGAGUUCCUGCUGGGGUAUUAGGGGAUUGGCGAUCAGUGGCAUCUCUGCAGCAUCAGGACACAGAUUGGAUCCCCAGCUGGCACAGUGGAUUCAAGGAUCAUAGGUCGCAACUGCUACUCAGAUUGAUACCUGGCCUGGAAACUCCGUAGGCCAUGGAGUGGCCAAAAAACAACAAAAAAAGACUUUCCAUUCUGAAUCAGGAGCAAAUUAUAUUAUUUUAUUAGCUAUUCCAUAUGGCUGCUUCUUAGGAGUUCAUGAACUUACUGUGCAAGCACUCAGAAUAGUGCAUGCCAUAUAGUAAGUAUUUAAUAAGAAUUAGCAAUUAUUAGUGGAUGAAAAAGAAAAUUCCAUCAGUUAUAGGAGCAAAAAUGACCUGGAUCCUCACACCGCAUGUUAUAGUUUCAAAUGAACAUUCAAUUCCAGUCAUUUGGGAACAGAACAUGAUCUUAUUCUGCGUACAUUAGAAUUUGGUGCCAAGAAUAAAAGGGGCUUAAAUAAAAUGGAGCUUUUUUAUUUUUCUUCUGAAGAUACAACAUAGUCCAGGAAGUUUCAGAAAGAAGAGAACUCAAAGGGAAAACAAAAGAACAUGUCUUUCAAGCUUGAAGAGAAUCACCUGUCAUAUGACACCUUUAUUGAGUCUUGACAACACUUUUUUUAAAUUCAAAUUCCAUUUUUUUAAUUUUUAAAUGAUUUUUAUUUUUUCCAUUAUAGUUGAUUUACAAUUUAUACUGUAUAGCAAAGUGACACAGUCACACACACACGUAUACAUUCUUUUUCUCACAUUAUCCUCCGUCAUGUUCCAUCAUAAGUGACUAGAUAUAGUCCCUUGUGCUAUACAGCAGGAUCGCAUUGCUUAUCCACUCCAAAUGCAAUAGUUUGCACCUAUUAACCCCAGACUCCCAGUCCAUCCCACUCCCUCCCCCUCCCCCUUGGCAACCACAAGUCUAUUCUCCAAGUCCAUGAGUUUCUUUUCUGUGGAAAGGUUCAUUUGUGCUGUAUAUUAGAUUCCACAUAUAAGUGGUAUCUUAUGGUAUUUGUCUUUAUCUUUCUGACUUACUUCACUCAGGGUGAGAGUCUCUCAUUCCAUCUAUGUUGCUCCAAAUGGCAUUAGUGUGUUCUUUUCUAUGGUAGACCACGUUUUACAUGUAAGAAUUGUUUGGAAAAGCAUUACUACCCCAUUGAUCAUUUUAAAAUAUUGCAGAAAUAUAUGUCUCCUUCCUAAAGUUUUGGAUACCCAAUUACAGUUCUGUUUGCAGAAAUACAAAUUGUGCCUUCACCUCUAAAAACAGUAUGGUUUGUUUUAUCUUCUGUUUGAGAUUCUUCAAGAGCAGGAAGAUGAUACUAUAAUAACCGAAGUAUGUUACAUCUGAAAAAUGAAUAACAACUGUCAUUAUUUUACCACAUUUGCUGUGUUCUUUUUUGACUUAAGACAUCCCAAUGAAAAAUAGCCUUGUUAAAAACAAUAGCUUGCCAACUCCUGCUUUUUAUUUGGCCUGGUAUACAAGUAAUGGAGACUGCAAAAAGAAUGGGCAAUAGUAACCCUAGAAAGGGGAUUUGUCAAAAAAAUAAAAAAUAAAAAAAAAA
rnacentral:lncRNA from 1 species